GGCUCAGGACGGACAGGUGGGGCCCCGCGGGCGGCUGCUCCCCGCACGGGGCUCGUUGGCGCCUGCGACGCGGGCGCUGCUCACCGCUCGGGCCAGAGGACAAAAGUCUGGAAACGCUUGGCCCCCAGAUCAAAUACCCAGCCCGUGAGGGCGGCGUCUUUAGGAGUCGCGGCGGACAAGUGGAGGGGAGCUGCAAAUGUGAAGAGUCACCCCCACAACCGUGGGAUUCUAAAUGAUGGAGUCCGUACUCUCACACAUUAUCAUGCCGGAAGUGUUGGGUCGGCCUCUUUAGGUGUUAAGCAGUUUAAUGAGCAAAUAACAAUACUUGGCAUCCCCUAGUCCCAGAUUGAU
rnacentral:lncRNA from 1 species